rnacentral:rRNA from 1 species
GAUGAACGCUGGCGGCGUGCCUAAUACAUGCAAGUAGAACGCUGAAGGAGGAGCUUGCUCUUCUGGAUGAGUUGCGAACGGGUGAGUAACGCGUAGGUAACCUGCCUGGUAGCGGGGGAUAACUAUUGGAAACGAUAGCUAAUACCGCAUGACAACAGUUAUUGCAUGAUAACUGUUUAAAAGGGGCAACUGCUCCACUACCAGAUGGACCUGCGUUGUAUUAGCUAGUUGGUGAGGUAACGGCUCACCAAGGCGACGAUACAUAGCCGACCUGAGAGGGUGAUCGGCCACACUUGGACUGAGACACGGCCCAGACUCCUACAGGAGGCAGCAGUAGGGAAUCUUCGGCAAUUGACGGAAGUCUGACCGAGCAACGCCGCGUGAGUGAAGAAGGUUUUCGGAUCGUAAAGCUCUGUUGUAAGGGGAGAACGAGUGUGGGAGUUGAAAGUUCACACUGUGACGGUAUCUUACCAGAAAGGGACGGCUAACUACGUG